rnacentral:tRNA from 1 species
CAUAAGAUACUUAUAAUAAGAUCAGGUCUUUUAAACCUGAAAUAGUAGAAUCUACUUCUUGUGA